UACGGGGGGGGCAAGCGUUGUUCGGAAUGACUGGGCGGAAAGGGCUUGUAGGUGGCCAACUAAGUCAGACGUGAAAUCCCUCGGCUUAACCGGGGAACUGCGUCUGAUACUGGAUGUCUGGAGUGUGGGAGAGGGAUGCGGAAUUCCAGGUGUAGCGGUGAAAUGCGUAGAUAUCUGGAGGAACACCGGUGGCGAAGGCGGCAUCCUGGACCAUUACUGACACUGAAAAGCGAAAGCCAGGGGAGCAAACGGG
rnacentral:rRNA from 1 species